CCGAAACGCUAGGGGCGCCCCACUGGGGCUGAGAGGUACCCUUGGAACCUGAUCCGGGUCAUGCCGGCGUAGGGAAGCGGAUCUCCAGGGCG
rnacentral:ncRNA from 2 species